rnacentral:misc_RNA from 1 species
GUAGGUGAACCUGCGGAAGGAUCAUUACUAGAGCUAGGGAUAGACCACGUUCUGUAGAGGGCGUGAAUCGUCGGGCUUAGGCCCGGUCCUAACACUCCACCCUUGAAUAAAUUACCUUUGUUGCUUUGGCGGGCCGCCUUGUGCCAGCGGCUUCGGCUGCUGAGUGCCCGCCAGAGGACCACAACUCUUGUUUUUAGUGAUGUCUGAGUACUAUAUAAUAGUUAAAACUUUCAACAACGGAUCUCUUGGU